rnacentral:rRNA from 1 species
GGGAAUAUUGCACAAUGGGGGAAACCCUGAUGCAGCGACGCCGCGUGAGUGAAGAAGCGCCUCGGCGCGUAAAGCUCUGUCAGCAGGAACGAUAAUGACGGUACCUGAGGAGGAAGCCACGGCUAACUACGUGCCAGCAGCCGCGGUAAUACGUAGGUGGCGAGCGUUGUCCGGAUUUACUGGGCGUAAAGGGAGCGUAGGCGGACUUUUAAGUGAGAUGUGAAAUACUCGGGCUCAACUUGAGUGCUGCAUUUCAAACUGGAAGUCUAGAGUGCAGGAGAGGAGAAUGGAAUUCCUAGUGUAGCGGUGAAAUGCGUAGAGAUUAGGAAGAACACCAGUGGCGAAGGCGAUUCUCUGGACUGUAACUGACGCUGAGGCUCGAAAGCGUGGGGAGCA